GGGAACCUACUCAUCACAGAAAGUCUUCCUUUGUCCUGAGUCUGGGGACUGUCGGAAUUGAGAAACUGUGGGCUUACAUUUAAAUCUUAGACACUGCAAGUAUUUAAAAGCAAACGGUUGAAGCUGAAACUUGGGAGGAGACGGAGCAAGUUCAUUUUUAGAAGGGGACUUUGGAGAUGGACCAAUAGUGUGAGUGGAAUCAACAGAUAUUUCAAGAGGGGGAGUGAGUUCCUAUGGAUACAUCUGAAAAGUCAUCUCAUCUUGAUAAACUGACACUUGAGAGGACAGAUGAUGUUUAGAAAGAAUAUAAAUGGAACCCCACAAACAGAGAGGAUCUCUUGAAUUGUUAUACCAUUCGACGCUUCACUGGUCUUUGCUGGUCUUCACUUCAUGGAGAGAUGUGCGCCAAAGAACUUCUCAUGGUAUUCCAGCUGAUUCUGGCUACUUCUGCUAACUUAUACCGACUGAUUCGGCUGAGUCUUGGUGUUUCUGCUGGAUCGAGCUGAGCCACCACUAUGAAUCCAUAUUUGAUGUUUACUAUUGAACUCAAAUCCUGACAACAAAAAAUGAACUUGCCCCAAGAAACUAUUUCUAAUGGGUCUAUAACACCCUUUUCCUAUUAACCUUCUUUCCCCCCUACCUCUGGUCGAUGAAUUAGAAGAGAGGUUGAGGUGUAUAAGAGCCCUAAAUAAAAUAUGUUUUGAAAG